rnacentral:rRNA from 1 species
AAUAUCAAAGAAUAACUUUCUUAAAAUUAAAAAUUGAAAUUUUUUUAAUUUGUGUAAAAACAAUUAUAUAAAUUAAAGACAAGAAGACCCUAAGAAUUUUUAAAAUUUAAAUUAACACAUUUUUGUUUUAAUUAAAUUUUAACUGGGGCGGUUAAAAAAUAUUAAAAACUUUUUAAUUUUGAAAAUGAUCCAUUAUUAAUGAAAAUAUGAUAAAAUACUCUAGGGAUAACAGCGUUAUAUUUUUUGAUAGAUCAUAUUGACAAAAAAGUUUGCGACCUCGAUGUUGGAUUAGGAUACUUUUUUAAUGAAGAUAUUAAAAUAAGAAGUUUGUUCAACUUUUAAAUUCCUACUUGAUCUGAGUUCAGAAA